AUGACGGGGAAGAAGCGCAAGGCGGAGGCGGCGCGGCUGGACGAGACGGACCGGGCCAUGUACGGCGCGUUCCGGGGCGCCGCCAACUCGCUCUCGCAGCUCUACACGCUCGCCAUGGGCGGCCAGAAGCUCUCCUUCCAGGCCGGCGAGCGCCACGCCAUGGAAAAGCUGUAUGAAUGGAUCUUAAGACAGCAUGAAAAUGGUUUGAGGCUUACAGUUGGUGAUAUAGCCUCGCACGUCCAGCAUGAGAUUCAGUAUGGAGGCGACAAUCCAUUGGCCUCUCCAAGAUCACAAUAUGCAAGCCAAAGCACUCAUGCUACUGUGCAUAUGCCCAACACAAGCAACCAGCAACCAUCUGCAAGCUUAUUUGCACUAGGAAACCCAGGGUUGACGCAGCCCAAGAACUCGGCGGUCUUUUCUAACGCACUAUCCAGCCCCGUGCGCCGGGGCCUGCAACCAUACCAUCUGGAUCAGGGUGGGGAUGCAGGCUACUUUGCGAACGGCUUAGCCCGCGAGCCGAAUCCCACGGCUUCAAACGACUCAUCCAUGGACAUGCAUUCGGACAGCCCAGCUCACGACUCCUCCUGA
rnacentral:rRNA from 1 species